AUCAAAUUAGGUAAUUACAGUACCAAGUUCAAGGAGAAGAAACAGAUUUGGGAACAAAGCUGACUGACUCUUGGUCUGCCUGUAACUCAACUAGUAGAUGCAGAUGGCGAGCACACUAGAAUGUGGCCACCUAGCAGGAGCUGAGGGUCCGUCAGCUGGUUUUACAGAAGGAAGGUGUACUGGUCAGGGUUCUCCAGAAAAACAGAAGCAAUAGGAGAUAAAUACACACGAAAGGAAAUUUUGGCUUACACGGUUAUGACAGCUGAGAAGUCCCACAGUCUGCUGUCUGCAAGCUAGAGACCCGGGAAAGCCAGUGGUGUCCUUCAGUCCAAGUCUGAAGUCCUGAGAAUCAGGGGCACUGAUGCUGUGACUCCUAAUCCAAGAGCAGAAUACAGAUGUCCCAGCUCAACAGGAAGACAGGAAGGGAGGGUGGCAGCCGUGGAAUGAAUCCUCCCUUCCUCUGUUUCUUGUUCCAUUAGGGUCCUCAACGGAUUGGAUGAUGCCCACCUACACUGGGGAGCGGGGCAUCUACUUUACCGAGACCAUCAAUUCAAAUGCUAAUCGCAUCCGGAAACACCCUCAAGACGUGUCCAGAAAUUAUGUUGAAUCUGGGCACCCGGGGGCCCAGAGAAGUUGACACGUGAAAUUAACCGUUGCAGAGAGGGAAUCCUGCGCGUCAAGUUAGGGAGAGGCUGAUUUUGUGAGCCUCUCCUGAACCCGAUGCUGAUGUUUUCAACAAAAAAUGGACUUUUCUUUAUUUCUCUCAUGCAAGCCUCAAUGAAUAGGACUGUGUGUAUAAAACACCACCUUGACUUUGCCCCAAGAAUUUGAAUUCUCUUCCCGUUUCCUUGUUUGGCAGAUCCUAGCACAAGAUCCAUGAUUAACAAGGACGCUGAAACUUUGAACCUGAGUGAGCCCUAUUAAGUUCUGGAAUCAGAAGUGACUUGGGUUCGGGCUGACCCCGUGGCCCAGUGGCUAAGUUUGUGUGCUCUGCUUCGGUGGCCCAGAGUUUCACCGGUUUGGAUCCUGGGCGCAGACAUGGCACCACUCAUCAGGCCACACUGAGGCGGCGUCCCACAUGCCACAGCCAGAAGGACCUACAGCUGGAAUAUACAACUAUAAUAUACAACUAUGGGGGCUUUGAGGAGAGGAAGAAGAAGAAGGAAAAAACAAAAAGAUUGGCAACAGAUGUUAGCUCAGGUGCCAAUCUUUAAAAAAAAAGUAAAAGUGACUUGGCAAAGACGUCCUUUCCAAAACAGUCUGAUUCCACUUUAUGUUAUCAGACAAAUGGGUCUUGAGCUCAAGUUUACAUUUAGAUGUCUCUGGCAACAAUUUCUUCAAGGCAGGAAGAUGCGGAGGAAGAGAUGUACUCACCCCUCACCUCUCCAGCUGCUGUCAUUUUCAGGAAAACUUGUGGACUGUCACCAAGUAUUUCCCCAAAAAACCAAUGUUCAGCGACUUUUUUCAUGUCAGCCCAAACCACUAGGUCGGGGAUACCAGGAGGAGUGAAGCCAUGUCCUUGAACCCCUGGAGCUCGCAACUUAGCGAGGAUCACUAUCUGAACACAACAGACUACGGUGCUGUGACUGGAGCUGUGUGUGCGUGUGACGUCCCUUAACAUCAGUGCUAACCUCAGACUACAAACCAUGGUGUCCAAAGUGGGCAGGACCCUCUCUAGUCAGUGGGAUUGCCUAUCGAAUACUAAAGCCAGCAUCACACUAGGCACUGGGACAAGAUGAACAAGAUGCAUAUGGGUUUUGUUGAGGCGGGGCACGGUGACGGAUAAAGGAAGUAACCUAGUAAUGACAGCACAGUGUGGAACAAACAGGAGGGAAACGCACGGGCUCACAAAGUCAGAGCUGGGUCCUGCUUGCUGAGUGGGGACAGGUGUCCCUGGAGAGCUGACACUUAGCUAUAAUCCUAGGAAUCAGCAGGAUUUGGCAGGCACAUGGAGGAGAAAGUGUGUUCUACGCAGAGACAGCAGCAGGUCCAGGGAGCAAUGCCCUGUGUGGUUGAGGUUCAGUGCCUGCGGGAGGGGGAAAGGCAGAGAGAGCAGCCAGGCCUGCACCACCUUGCCCUUGACAUUGUGGGAAGAGAGUCGGGAAGGGAGAGAGAGGAGGCACGGAGCAGCCAAGCGUUGGGCCUGAAGGGGGUUGGGAGAAGGGGGUAGAUGAGACAGAGGUUUAGGAGGAAAAAAAAUGUGACGGCUGAUUAGAUAUGGAGCCAGCGGUUAAAUGAGGAAUUUAAGAAGAGUAUAGCAAUGAGAAUUAUCCCGUAAGAAUCUAACAGAAAACAAACUAGAAACUAAUCCCAAAUGCUCAGCGGCCUGGGGACAUUUCAUAUGGCAGCAAAUAUCCAGGGGCAACUCUGUCGGGCUAUCAGCAUCUUAGAGCAUGAUACAGUAAUUUUUGUACGCAAAAUAACCAGAAAUCAUUAAAACAGCUUCAAGUACAUUAAAAGCACUCUUUCAGAAAGCAAGAAAAAAUAUGAGAUUUUUGGAAACAGUUUCAUCUAAAUUGGUUAAAAGAGGAAUAAAGAUUGAAAGUAGGGGUAGGUAAUUUUUAAUUUUUUUUUUUUUUUUUUUUUGAGGAAGAUUAGUCCUGAGCUAACUGCAGCCAUUCCUCCUCUUUUUGCUGAGGAAGACUGGCCCUGAGCUAACAUCUGUGCCCAUCUUCCUCUACUUUAUAUGUGGGACGCCUACCACAGCAUGGCUUGCCAAGCGGUGCCAUGUCCAAACCCGAGAUCUGAACCGGCAAACCCCGGGCCGCCAAAUCGGAAUGUGCGAACUUAACCACUGCGCCACUGGGCCGGCCCCUAAUUUUCUUUUUCAUAGUUUUGUCAUUUCCCUCAUUUUAUAUAAUGCAUGUAUUUUUUUUUUAAAUAUUUGUUCAGGGGCCCGUCCCAUGGCCGAGUGGUUCAGUUCGUGUGUUCCACUUUGGCAGCCCAGAGCUUCACCAGUUUGGAUCCUGGGUGUGGACCUAGCACCGUUCAUCAAGCCAUGCUGAGGCAGCAUCCCACAUAGCAGAGACAAAAGGAGCUACAACUAGAAUAUACAACUAUGUUCUGGGGGGCUUUGGGGGAAGAAUGAAAAAAAAAAAAGAAGAUUGGCAACAGAUGUUAGCUCAGGUGCAAAUCUUUAAAAUAUAUAUAUAUCUUAUAUAUAUAUCUGUUCAACAAUAUUUGAUGCAUAUAAAAGCACAUAUGUGAGACGUGGGUCGCCAAUAAAGAUUUCCUUCCUUAACCCAUCCCUGGCCCGCACUCCAUCACACCAAGGGUAACAACUAUUCCAGAUUGUGUCUAUCUCAUUUCCUUCCUUUUAGUGUUUAUCACAGACACAUACAAGGAGACACACACAGACAUACACACACGUGUGUACACAUCUCGACAUUCUUUACAUCUCUGUUUUAUAGUUCGUUAUUUUCUGCUCUUAUCUUUCUCUCCAUUUUUCUUACUUUGAGUUUAUUCUGUGGUUCUUUUUCUAAUUCUCUAUUCCAAACAGCCAGAAGUGGAAAUCUUCCUGUAUCGCAUUUAUUUAUGCUCAGAAAAAUAUAACACAUUUAAAGCAGAAGAAAAAGACUUCGGGGGCUGGCCCCGUGGCCGAGUGGUUAAGUUCGCGCGCUCUGCUGCAGGCGGCCCAGUGUUUCGUCAGUUCGAAUCCUGGGCGCGGACAUGGCACUGCUCGUCAGACCACGCUGAGGCAGCGUCCCACAUGCCACAACUAGAGGAACCCACAACGAAGAAUACACAACUAUGUACCGGGGGGCUUUGGGGAAAAAAAGGAAAAAAUAAAAUCUUAAAAAAAAAAAAUAAAAUAAAAUAAAAAUAAAGUUAAAUCAAUUAUAAAAAAAAAAAAAAAAAAAAAGAAAAAGACUUCGUUUUUAAUUCACUGUUACUUACGAAGUUUAUUUUUCUGUAAUAAUUCAUCAUUUGGGGUUUGGAAUCCCUGAAGCUCUAUUUUUCAGGUUAUAAGCUUUGUAGCUUAUAUUUAAUCAUUUUAUACAUAAUUCUGAGUCUUUUUUGACCAUGAUUGAGCCAGUAAUUGUAACAAGUAGCUACCAUUCCAUUGCAUUUUGUUAAAGGAAAAUGUACUUUCCUAAUCAGGAUAAAAUAUACUUUAAUUACUAAUCAAGCCAGUUAGUAGCCAAGAAAACAUCUUGCCAGCUCCUAUUUUAUGAAAGCAAACAAACUAUAGUCACUUAAUAAAUGUUUAUCCUGAAAAAGAAACACAUGAAUGUACUUGAAGUUUCUUUGGUUGUUGAAAAUUCAACCUCUUUUGACACGUUAGAAAACAACGUUAAUUCAGUUGACCCAAUAAUCCUUAAAAAUUGGAUUAAAUGGACUGUUUGUUUUUAUUCUUUGAAACUAGAUGAUGAUAAUAAAAAUCUGGUAAUGAUUACUUGAAAGUGUGACUUAGAAUAGCAUAUCGUCUUUCUCUGACAUACUUUUAAAAAACAAAAGUUCUAGUAUUUGGAACAGAAAGGAACACUCACAUGUUGCAACCUGGCCAUGUCAAUGAGAUUAAACAAGAAGGCAAGAAUAUUUCUCGCUAAGCUCAGAAACUAAAAGAGCAAGCGUUAGCUAGCAAAGUUUUAAGUGGCCAGCUUUGAUUAAGUAAACUAACAAAUAUUCUGACAGCUGAUUCUGGGGUUAAAGCCACAAUAAGAUAAACCCCCUUGAAUGUUUGAUGUAUGGCAGGGCUAGUCCGUGGCUAUGAGAGUCAGCUGUCUCCAGAAUGAGAUCAAAUGGAGCAGCUCCAAAAGUAAAGUAAAAGAAAUGCACAGGAAGAAAGAAAUUCUGCUUGACCCACAGACCCUUGCUGAACCCGACUUCGUGGCACCCUCUGGGAAUCAAUCUAAAUCAAGACACCCUACCUUUGGCCAUCACGCAAUACAAGGUUUGAGCCUUUUCUCUUUUGGGAGAAGGAAAACAUCUGGCAGGACAUUGAUGGUCAUUUCCUAUUUGUUAAGGUCCUGGGAAGCCUGAAGAAACAGCAGAGUCAGUGUUUAAAAACAUCAGAACUGGGGCCAGCCCGGUGGCGCAGUGGUUAAGUGCACACGUUCCGCUUCAGCAGCCCGGGGUUCAUCGGUUUGGAUCCUGGGUGUGGACAUGGCACCACCUGGCAAGCCAUGCUGUGGUAGGUGUCCCACAUAUAAAGUAGAGGAAGAUGGGCACGGAUAUUAGCUCAGGGCCAGUCUUCCUCAGCAAAAAGAGGAGGACUGGCAGCAGAUGUUAGCUCAGGGCUAAUCUUCCUCAAAAAAAAAAAAAAACAAAAUAGCAGAACCUACUAGAGAUGCAGGUUGGGGAUUCUGACAGUACCAAGAGUGGCUAAAUGGGAUUUGCCAUGAAUAAUCUGAAGAGUUUCUGCUUUUAGAACCGCUAAUCUCAAUGUUGUCCAUAAGUCUUACUGAAAAGGCUCUGCCAAUCAUCCAUGUGCAAGAAAAAAAGUAUUAAAAUGUAUGGGG
rnacentral:lncRNA from 1 species